rnacentral:ncRNA from 1 species
AUCCGAACCUGGGUGAUCUAUCCAUGACCAAGAUGAAGCUUGGGUGAAACUAAGUGGAGGUCCGACUGAUGUGGAAAAAUCACCGGAUGAGUAGUGUUUAGGGGUGAAAUGUCACUCGAAUCCAGAGCUAGUUGG